CGUGGUGAGCGUGCGGUGCUGUGCUGAGGAGGGGCGAGCGCGCGCGGGGAUGGCGGCCCGGUGUGUGACUGUCCGGUGCGUGGCCGCGAAUCUGCGCCUGCGUGCAUGGCCCGGCGGCGUGCGGAAGGCGGUGUGUGUUGGAAUGAGUGAAGCACUUUAAGUGGCCAAGAGCAGGAAACCCGGCCGGAGGAGGCUUACCCCGUUCUCCCCUGUAUCGACUGCGUAGAGCCCAGUGUGGGCAAAGUCCUAGAGCCCGGGGAAGUUGCCCGGGCGGGGCAGCCUCGGCUGAAGCAUUUCCUGUCAGCCCUAUCUGGAAGGGGCAGAGCCCAGGACAGGGCUCCAUGUCCACAGGACGGCGAGGAGCGAAGACCAUGGGGACUGAGUACACAGAUGAAGACACAGAAGCAUAGAGAGGAUAAGUAAUCACUAGCAAGUGGAAGAACCGGGAUUCAGAUCCAGAACAGGCUGACUCCAGAGUCACUGGCUGUCAUGUAGUUUCCUCAACUACUGCCUCAGCUCUACAAUCCCAGAGUAAAGCUCUUCUCCAAAUGAAGAGCCAGGAAGAGGUAGAGGUGGCAGGAAUUAAACUUUGUAAAGCCAUGUCCCUGGUCUUUGCAUUUCUAAACCAGAUGUGAUCUCCUUACUGGAGCAAGAGAAAGACCCUUGGGUGAUAAAAGGAGGGAUGAACAGAGGCCUGUGCCCAGAUCAAGAAUGCUAUGUAGAGAGGUUGUAACUGAAGGAGCAUCUCUGAUCAAAAGACUAAUUGAAAUGGGAAUGACACCAAACUGCCCCACCAGAUAUCCUGAAAAUGCCACAUCAGUAAGUUGAACAAGAAGAACGGGAGCUUUAAGAACAAGAUUCAAGAUGAAACAACACAAGUGUUGAAUAUUUUAUAAAUAGCUAAAGGCAGAAAACGUUGCCAAUUAUCUCAGACUUCCAGAAAGUGAAAACAAACAAACAAACAAACUAAAGUCUUAA
rnacentral:lncRNA from 10 species